rnacentral:rRNA from 1 species
UACGAAGGGGCUAGCGUUGCUCGGAAUUACUGGGCGUAAAGCGCACGUAGGCGGCUUCUUAAGUCGGUGGUGAAAUCCUGGAGCUCAACUCCAGAACUGCCUUCGAUACUGGGAGCUCGAGUCCGGGAGAGGUGAGUGGAACUGCGAGUGUAGAGGUGAAAUUCGUAGAUAUUCGCAAGAACACCAGUGGCGAAGGCGGCUCACUGGCCCGGUACUGACGCUGAGGUGCGAAAGCGUGGGGAGCAAACAGG